AUCGAACGCUGGCGGCAGGCCUAACACAUGCAAGUCGAGCGAGCGGAGGACGGGUGAGUAAUGUCUGGGCAACUGCCUGAUGGAGGGGGAUAACUACUGGAAACGGUGGCUAAUACCGCAUACCAUCAGAUGUGCCCAGAUGGGAUUAGCUAGGCGGUGGGGUAAAGGCUCACCAAGGCGACGAUCCCUAGCUGGUCUGAGAGGGUGACCAGCCACACUGGAACUGAGACACGGCCCAUACUCCUACGGGAGGCAGCAGUGGGGAAUAUUGCACAAUGGACGCAAGUCUGAUUCAGCCAUGCCGCGUGUGUGAAGAAGGCCUUCGGGUUGUAAAGCACUUUCGGUCGAGAGGCGGUACUUACAGAAGAAGCACCGGCUAACUCCGUGCCAGCAGCCGCGGUAAUAC
rnacentral:rRNA from 1 species